rnacentral:misc_RNA from 1 species
GUGAAUCAUCGAAUCUUUGAACGCAAAUUGCACUCUCUGGUAUUCCGGAGAGCAUGCCUGUUCGAGGGUCAGUUCAACUCAAAAUCGUUGCGGUUGCUGCCUUUCGUGGUGACGCAGCGGAUGUGGGACGUAUUGCCUUCGGCUAAGUGACCUGAAAUGUUGCAUGAUUUUUUCGAACGUAUUUAAAUGAGAUUACGUACGUUUGCGCU